GGGUGCGAUCAUACCUGCGUUAAUGCAGUGGAUCCCAUCGAAACUACACAGUUAAGCAGGCUUGGGAUAGAGUAGUACUGGGAUGGGUGACCUCCCAAGAAGUCUUAGUGUUGCACCCU
rnacentral:rRNA from 1 species